rnacentral:rRNA from 1 species
AUGAAUUGCCAAAGUUGGAACUGCCGGGGGGCGGGGAACCCCUGGACAGUUCGCGACCUUGUAGCACUUGUGGGUGCUCAUUCCCUGAAGUUUGUGUUUUUAUGUCAAACUAGACAACCAAAAAAUAAAAUAUAUCUUCUUCGUCCUCGGUUAGGCCUAGCUGGUUUUGAGGGGGUCAGUAGUGAAGGUCAAAGUGGAGGUCUUGCUUUAUUUUGGCAUGCGUCUAUAAUAGUUGAAGUCAAGGAAGCUAAUAAAAAUUGGAUUGAUGUGUAUGUCCGCUUGGGUCCAACAAAACCACCUUGGCAUAUCACUUUUGUGUAUGGUGAACCAAGGGUGGAAAAUAGAGGCUUGGUCUGGGAUGGCCUCCGCCGGCUGCAUAGCAUGAGUAAUCUGCCGUGGAUGCUGGUCGGUGACUUUAAUGAAACGAUGUGGGACUAUGAGCAUAUGUCCGAGACGCCGUGCGCUCCAGGGCAAAUGCUUAUAUUCAGAGAUGCUUUGGAAACUUGUGGACUUAUUGAUCUAGGUUUUGUAGGCUACCCAUUCACAUAUGAUAAUAGAAGAGCUGGGCGAGCAAAUGUCCAGGUGAGGCUAGAUCGAGCAGUGGCAACAAACUCAUGGCGUGAUAUGUUUGCGGACGCUUCAGUGAAGCACUUGGUGUCCCCGUGCUCGGACCACGGCCCGGUUUUGGUGUGCUGUAUACCUGAUACGGCGCCAAGGCCAGGGUGA